CGAAGGGUGCAAGCGUUACUCGGAAUUACUGGGCGUAAAGCGUGCGUAGGUGGUUCGUUAAGUCUGAUGUGAAAGCCCUGGGCUCAACCUGGGAAUGGCAUUGGAAACUGGCGACCUAGAGUGCGGUAGAGGGUAGUGGAAUUCCCGGUGUAGCAGUGAAAUGCGUAGAGAUCGGGAGGAACAUCCGUGGCGAAGGCGACUACCUGGACCAGCACUGACACUGAGGCACGAAAGCGUGGGGAGCAAACAGGAUUAGAUACCCUGGUAGUCCACGCCCUAAACGAUGCGAACUGGAUGUUGGGUGCAACUAGGCACUCAGUAUCGAAGCUAACGCGUUAAGUUCGCCGCCUAGGGAGUACGGUCGCAAGACUG
rnacentral:rRNA from 1 species